rnacentral:lncRNA from 1 species
CGCACGCGGAAGAUUCGCGUCGCCUGCGUUUGACCAGUUUGCCUCCUCCGAAUCCUUCGCGCUUAACCGUUAGGCAAAAGGCUGGCUGUCUCAGUACAGAGGCGAGAGGACCACGGGAUCUCGCCGUCGACUCGAGCCCCGAGUCGGUGAAGAUCCGCGCGCAAGAAAGACACCGCCGGAACUUCACCUUCUUCGUCUACCUUAGCUGAUUCUCAGUUCUCCAACGAGCAUAUCCCAGGCGUGUGGCGCUCGCUCGGCUGUGAUCCACGUCGCUGUCUCGUCCAAAUUGCGGCAUUCCCGGUCGCCGUUCUCAGUCGGAAGACGCCGUACACAACGCUCAGCGGCCGACCUGGACGGAUCGUUUUCGGUGCCGCGUUUGUUGUGCGUGUCUGUGAGACGUCCAGGACGCGAGUGCCCAAGAGCUAGCCGCCUUCCUCGGCCGACGAGCACUUGUCGACGAAGUCGGGACGCUCCGCGCGUCGUGCGACAGGCCGCCACCGGCUGGCCCUGUGCACGGUUACCGUCGAGGCCACGGUGAAGAGGGCGGUUCUGUUUGUGCCUCCGGAUCGGCCGUGGAGGUCCGUCCAGCCAGUGCCAGCCUGAGCUUUCACGGAACUGAGCCAGCUGGAGCGCCACUUUCCCGCUGACCUCGGACUUUGUCCUUGUUCGGCCCAGGCCUUAAAUAGGUGAGACGUAUAGGAGUCCAGGAAAGGGCGGGCUUGUGGUCACGGUGGGGACGGGAGCUGCCAGAGCGCAGGCGACGGUGCGCGACGUCCCUGCGGAUGCAUCCUGUAUGACGGCGGUGCGACGACGACUGCAUUGCAUGGAUCGCUUCAUCUGAGCCAGGAAGAGCGAGCCAACAGGCGACCUUGAGCAAGCCGGACGACGCAGGUGGUGGUGUGCGAUCGUGGUGAGCCUCAGCAUCUGUAGA